UCAAGGAUUAUCUAAUCCAACAACGAAAACACGAGAGAGAGGGCUGAGUCUCUUUCGCUGAAGCAACGCCCGUUCGUAAUUUACUACGUUAGGACUAAUAAAUUCCCAACUAAGAUCCCGGACACGGGUUACUGCACCGGUUGCUCUUCUGACCGUCAGAUUUCAUGGCAGCUUAAUGCACUGCCGCUUACAGGCAGAAGCUCAUGGGGAUCUGCUACAUCGAAAUCCAGGCGAAAAUGUUGGUAGUUCAAAACAAGCACGCGCUUAUGCAAGUGUGUGUCCAGACGGUUUCGCGAAGGGAGCCUAUAUUAAACAAGGGCGUUUAGUUACAUGAAGUCACUCCGACGUUGGCUGGUCGCGCCCGAGGAAAAGCUAUUGUUUCACGUUCGUGGACGCCAUCAUACACAUAAAGCUAUAUGAACCGGUUUAUAUACUCUGCGGAUUCUACAGGGAUACUAUGAGGCCCGUUUUUGCGCCGGAGAGCAGAGAGUUUGCUGGCAUGGAAUGCCCCGUGAUUAUGCGGACUUGAAUCGGGAGAACAAGCAGGCAGAAGUCAACGUAACAACUCAAAGGAAGUAACUAAGGCAGAACGGUGAAAUCAUCGUUCGUCAUCUGACGUUGCCACUAAGUCCUCUUCCAUUCAACUAUCGUGUUAACAGUCUAUAAGUCUUUUGAGGAACCGGACCUGACUUUUGUCCACGGUUAUACCAUUCUCUUGCCUAGUCCCUCUCUGGCUGACGGUAGAGAUGGAAUCGUGCCUCAUCCACGACGAACCUAUGCCUCAGAUGGGUUUUUUGUUGAUUAAAAUUAUGCAAAUUGUACAUGAAAUAUAUCAGACGUAUUUUCAACUGGCCAGAAGUCAAUUCAUGGAAAUUCAAUUUUUCUCAGUAUUUAGGGUAUAACUAUGUAACACGUCGCAUGUCAAAUGAUAAAGCCCUUAGACUCGAAGCGCUGCUUUCGUGAAACCAUCAAUCUAGAAGAAUACUUAACCCAUUCAAAAGGGAUGAUUCAGUACAUGGGAAUGAGGUUUCAUUAAGAUUUAAAUGAAACUCCCAUUAAUGAUUUCUAUAUCAGACGCAACACAAGUGGGCGCUACAGUGGCUACACGCACAUUAAAGCGGUAUACGCUUUUUGAAGAGGAAGAAGCAGAACUUGAGGGAAACUAGGGCACCCAUUUAGGACUAACACCAUGGUGAAUUCUAUUGCUCAAGAUAAAAAGAGCUGGAUUUUGAACACGACGUAUGAGACAAGAGGUAUGGAACUCAAAAAGCAAAAGAAGCGAAGAAGAUACUGAUGGAAAGCAGAAUUUUCCCGGGGCACUGUAUUGAACAAAAAGAAAGUUGAAUAACCAUAUUUAAAAUUAAAAAAAAAAAAUAAAAAGACCAUUCGCACAUUAGGAAAUACUUUUAAACCGCUAUAUCUGGUGCGAUUCAAAUAUCGCAACCCGUGUACUUGAUUUGGUGAAGCUAUGUUGGAGAGUUGACCAGGCGGCAACAAAAAGCUUUCUUCUGACGUCUUAAAUAUUUAUGUGUUAAAUGAGAUCGGUUAAAACAAACUUGUGGUGGUUAUUCAUCUUAUGUCCACAUUUCGUAUAUUACCUUACGAAAUAGGUAUAGCAAUAUUGUAACCAUUACAAGCUGGUCGCUAGAUAAAAUGUAAGCCACAAGGUAUUUUACUUCUACGCGGCUUCAUUCUCCGUAAACAGCUGCUUGAUCUUAACAGUGAUCAACUCAAGAUGUCAUAAUGGCUCAAACUGCGCAGUAUUGAAAA